rnacentral:rRNA from 1 species
GAUGAACGCUAGCGACAGGCUUAACACAUGCAAGUCGAGGGGCAGCGGGGAGCAAGCUUGCUUGCUCUGCCGGCGACCGGCGCACGGGUGAGUAACACGUAUGCAACCUGCCCUCCGCAGGGGGAUAACCCGGAGAAAUCCGGACUAAUACCGCGUGGUACACCUGUGGGGCAUCCCACGGGUGUUAAAAGGAAGUGAUUCCGGCGGAGGAUGGGCAUGCGGCGCAUUAGCGUGUUGGCGGGGUAACGGCCCACCAAGGCGACGAUGCGUAGGGGUUCUGAGAGGAAGGUCCCCCACACUGGUACUGAGACACGGACCAG